rnacentral:rRNA from 1 species
CCUACGGGUGGCUGCAGUGAGGAAUAUUGGUCAAUGGACGCGAGCCUGAACCAGCCAAGUAGCGUGAAGGAUGACUGCCCUACGGGUUGUAAACUGCUUUUAUAAAGGAGUAAAGUGAGGCACGUGUGCCUUUUUGUAUGUACUUUAUGAAUAAGGAUCGGCUAACUCCGUGCCAGCAGCCGCGGUAAUACGGAGGAUCCGAGCGUUAUCCGGAUUUAUUGGGUUUAAAGGGAGCGUAGAUGGUUUGUUAAGUUAGUUGUGAAAUCUUGCGGCUCAACCGUAAAAUUGCAAUUGAUACUGGUCGUCUUGAGUAUAGUUGAGGUAGGCGGAAUGCAUGGUGUAGCGGUGAAAUGCUUAGAGAUCACGAAGAACUCCGAUUGCGAAGGCAGCUUACCAAGCUGCUACUGACAUUGAGGCUCGAAAGUGUGGGUAUCAAACAGGAUUAGAUACCCUAGUAGUC